rnacentral:snoRNA from 1 species
AGGGCAUAUGAUGACUACUGGUGGUGCACGAGUCACUCAUGAUGAGCACCGUGUGUCUGGAACUCUGAGGUCCAA